rnacentral:rRNA from 1 species
UACGUAGGUGACAAGCGUUGUCCGGAUUUACUGGGCGUAAAGCGCGGGCAGGCGGCUCGAUGCGUCUGAUGUGAAAUCUCCUCGCUCAACGGGGAGAGGCCAUUGGAAACGGUCGGGCUGGAGGGCAGUAGAGGCAGGCGGAAUUCCGGGUGGAGUGGUGAAAUGCGUAGAGAUCCGGAGGAACACCAGAGGCGAAGGCGGCCUGCUGGGCUGCACCUGACGCUGAACCGCGAAAGCCAGGGGAGCGAACGGG